rnacentral:rRNA from 1 species
GUGAGGAAUUUUCCGCAAUGGGCGAAAGCCUGACGGAGCAAUGCCGCGUGAAGGAUGAAGGCCUAUGGGUUGUAAACUUCUUUUCUCAGAAAAGAAUUAUGACGGUAUCUGAGGAAUAAGCAUCGGCUAACUCUGUGCCAGCAGCCGCGGUAAGACAGAGGAUGCAAGCGUUAUCCGGAAUGAUUGGGCGUAAAGCGUCUGUAGGUUGUUUAAAAAGUAUUCUGUCAAAGAUUAGGGCUUAACCCUAGAUAGGCAGAAUAAACUUUUAAGCUAGAGUUUGGUAGAGGCAGAGGGAAUUCCCGGUGGGGCGGUGAAAUGCGUAGAUAUCGGGAGGAACACCAAAGGCGAAGGCACUCUGCUGGGCCAAUACUAACACUGAGAGACGAAAGCGAGGGGAGCAAAUGGGAUUAGAAACCCCUGUAGUCC